AGGAUCAUUAAUGAAUUUAUAAUCCGGCGAGACGAAGGACGAGGACUGUCGCUGGCCUUUCAUCGAGGCAUGUGCACGCUCUCUUCUGGACUUUCGCCGUAUGGGCGCGGGGCGACCCGCGUCUUCAUAUACCUCUUCGUGUAGAAAGUCUUUGAAUGUUUUUACAAUCAUCGAGUCGUGACUUCUAGGAGACGCGAUUCUUUGAGACAAAAGUUAUCACAACUUUCAGCAAUGGAUCUCUUGGCUCUCGCAUCGAUGAAGAACGCAGCGAAUCGCGAUAUGUAAUGUGAAUUGCAGAUCUACAGUGAAUCAUCGAAUCUUUGAACGCACCUUGCGCUCCUCGGUGUUCCGAGGAGCAUGCCUGUUUGAGCGUCAGUAAAUUCUCAACCCCUCUCGAUUUGCUUCGAGUGGGGCUUGGAUAGUGGGGGCUGCCGGAGACCCGGAAUUCAUUCUGGGACUCGGGCUCCUCUGAAAUGCAUCGGCUUGCGGUCGACUUUCGACUCGCGCGACAAAGCUUUCGGCGUGAUAAUGAUCGCCGUUCGCUGAAGCGCAUGAAUGAAUGGUCCCGUGCCUCUAAUCAGUCGCCGCCUUCUGGGCGUCUUCCUUAUAGACGUUGACCUCAAAU
rnacentral:rRNA from 1 species